ensembl:lncRNA
GCUGAGGGGAUGUGGAGGUGCACUCUGCAUUUGCAUUUCUGCACAAGAUCCCAGGACUCAUCAAGAGAACAAGCCCCAAUGAGAUAUCGAGAGAAGACGAAAUCCCCGAAGUCAAGUGCAUUUCUAUCAGUGUUCGUCACACAGAAAGCUGACCGUGGCGUGUGGAGUAGAGAGGGUGCGCUGGGAACCGCAGGGUUGGCAGUUCGAACCCUGGCUGCUCCAUGUCCCAUGUGGAAGUGUACUUGAGAAAGACACCCAACCCCUAACUGCUCCCACUGUGUGGGGUGGGUUAUACAUGCAAACCAUAGCGUAAAAAUGUAAACCCUCUAAUGCGUCAACUUUAAUGACAUUCCAUUUACAUUACAUGUCAAGUCGCUUUGGAUAAAAGUGAUCUUGAAAAACCUUGUAUUUACCGACUGCAAAG